GUGAGUGGUUAUUGAGCCUGCUCAGAGACGAAGACGCCGCUCUGCAUCACUCGGCUGUGUCACUGCACAGCUCUCACUGGAACUGCAGGACAGAGUAAAGCUCAAAGCACCAAAAGGCUGGAGCCACAGAGGAUUGUGGGUACUGUAGUCUUGCAGGUCAACGUUUGUGUCGCAAUGAAGAUGCAUACAGGGGAUUCGAGGGCGGUGAAAGGCAGCAGCUGUGUUCUUCAUCCUGGGGGGGCGUUGGAGGGUAUUUCCUGGGGCAGUUUCUGUGUGUGGCUGCAGCUCGAGGCUCUGCAGCUGUUUUCAGUGUGCGCGGCCUGAUUGUUGACUCUCAGUCUGAAGGUCACGGCGUGAUGCCGCCGGUCAGUGCACUGAAACUCAGCUGACUACCUCCAACCGGCCGCUGUGAUUGGCUGAGCCGGCUGUGUUACACAGACAGAGGAAGAGGCUGCAGGUAUUUGGUCUUCGCCACAGACGUAGAAGGAAAGGAGCAGACAGCUGAGCUCCACCUGACCUCUGACCUCUCCAGGACCAUGCCGUCACCUCUCAGCUCAUCUCAGUCUGACCCAUCGGGACUCAAACGUCUCUGUUUGUGGCUCCAUCGCUGCUCCUCCCCUCCUCCUCCUCCUCUCCCCGUCAGCUGCGGCGACCUCUGCCCUCUGUCAGCAUCAUGCCGUCUCCCCCUGCUGGUGGCCCUGCUGCUCUGCGGCCUGCUGCUGAUGGUGCUGCUGCUGCUGUGGAACUACCACUGUGUGUUCAUCUCACGCCUCUGCUCCCCCCCGGGGGAGGAGGAGGGGGAUGUGGGGGAGAUGGGCUUGUGACCUCUGACUGUGUCAUUAAUGAUGGUGAUGGUGAUGAUGAUGAUGAUGAUGACGACGGCUCGGGAUGCUUUUCAGUUUUGAUAAAAAUGUAACAAUCAAAAUAAAAAAUCUUAAACGUGCCGAACUCAAAGGUUCCUUUUCUGAAUCUCGCAAACCGCCUCUUCUGUUCAUAUGAAGGGGCGUGGCCUUUACACGAUGGAACAUGAUGAAUGGUGUAACAGCCACCGGGGGGCGAUCCAAAUACGUCUCCCAUUAAUGAGUGGUGUUUUUACUGAUGUGCAUCUGAAGCCAGCGCGUACUUCCUGUUUCUGUGGCGGGCGUUCAUGUCAAACGCGUUAGUAAUGAUGAGGUCGUCAGAUCACUGCGCACUGCAUAGAAGGGGGAUUCAAAGUUCCUGUUCAGGAUGAGCAGCCAAUCAGAAUAAAGUUGCUCUGAAUGAGGGAGGAGCUAAAAAGCUUGCUUUAGCAGCUGCUGCAUGAAGAGAAGUAAAAACUCCUCCAUGCUGGUUUUCAGGACUGAUCACGUCCCGCAGGUUAAACACACCUGUGCCCCGUCCUCAGGCUGUAACACGCACACCUCCUCAGGUAAAGACCAGGCUCACAUACACACACAGUGCGAGAGCACGAGAGUGUAAAAAAAGCCUGCAGACACGUCAUUUUAAACCCUCCAUUACGGUUCUAUUCCUGUCUGCCAGCAGGGCGCCACGCCCAAAACCUCCACCACCGCCGCUGAUUUAUUUCCAGAGUCGCUUUGGUGCUGCUGAGGAGCCAAUCCAACACGUUUACUCAGGAACUGCUGCUGAAUGACACCUGAAUCAUAUUCACCCCCACUGCGACCUCUGAUGCCCCAGCAGGUCCCGGGGUUCUCCUGGACCUCCUGGAGGACCCUGGGAGCCUCCACUCUGUAAAGCCCAG
ensembl:lncRNA